CGCUCCGUAGCUCAGUGGCAGAGCAGCGCCCUCAUAAGGCGUGCGCGCAGGUUCGACUCCUGCCGGAGUGU
rnacentral:tRNA from 1 species